ensembl:lncRNA
GUAAUGGCUUCAACUUGCUGAACAUGAGCUCCUCCUCCAGAUGUGAUAGAGACCAGAUGGCUUGGGGGGUGGAGGCCAAAAAGCAAUGGCAGAGCCAUCCUAAUCCCUCGUGGCAAAUAGUCUAUCCAGAGGGAGAGCCAUUGUAGGAUUAAAGUUUCUCUGUUGUAUUCUCCUGAAAAUGGAGAUUAAUAAAUCCGGGUACACAAUUGUCUUCCCUCCACACAUUCAUUCUGCACUGAUAGUUGAGUUAAUUAGUGUAAGAAGGAUGGAGUCUCAAUUUUAUCACUGAAUUUUCUGUAUGCAGAAACUGUACAGGAAAUAGGAUAAAUAUAUUGAAUUGUAAGUACAGGCUGGUUGGAGAACUGCUUUAUACCUGGCCCGAAUCUCUGCUUUGGAGAGAGGGGAAGAUUUUACUCUGGAGUCAAAUUCACUUACUUUACUUUGAGUCUGAAGACUAACAAAGACGAUGUUGACUGGGCAUGAGUUAUUUUUGGGUGGACCUGAUCUGCCAUAAAUACAUAGUAGAAUGAAGGGUGGUAUCAGAGAACACAAGUGGUUCAGAGAGUCGGAGUUGUCUAAGGUGACAGUGCUUCUUUCUUCCAUAGAAGACUCAUGAUCUGGACAGCUGCCUUUAUAAUCCACAGAACUCGUGUGUCCAAGCCUUUACCAGAAACUUCAUCCAUCCAUACAUCGUGUAAACCUGAGAUUCAGUUCUGAGCCUUUAGGGGAGUGAGAUGUAAAUAGCCCACCCUUCUCUGAUGGCAAAUUACACUGAUGAAGUAGCUGGACCUGGAUUUAGGUAGAAACUUCCGAGUCUUUCUGAGUCAGGCACUUCAAGAGUCAUAAUAUCAAUGGAGUUCAGGCUCAGUUCCCAAAAGAUAUCUUAUCCUAUUUUCUCCCAUCAGAACAUGCAGAAUGCUGCUCUGGAAACAGGUCUCAGAAAAAAAUGCCCACAAAUUGCGCAAGGUGGUGCUAACUUUCCAACUUGUAUGGUUAGGGGUAGGACUGAGAAGGUGAAGAGGGGACGGAAUAGGAAGGAACUUAUUUUGCCUCAUUUCCCUGUUGAGAUGCAAAUGGUCUGGGAAAGGUUAUUGUCAGAAGGUGUAAACUCGGGGUGUGAGUGACUGGGAGGAGUUAAAAGAAGAAAGUAUGAAUUUAUAAAAUGGAAGGUCAAGGAUCAAGAUUAGAGAAAGAUUUUGAGGACUAAAUGCUGCAGAAGACAAGUGACAAGUGUCAUUGGCUCUGGAACAAUGACAUCGAAGGCAUGUUUUAUGGUUGCUGUAUGUCCCAAGGUAGUCCAGGCUUGACCUCUUUGCUCCUGGUAGGUGCCUGGAAUAAUAGAAAAGUGAGAAAGGGAAUCUCUCCAUAGAGGUGUAUGAAGAAAUUUUAAAAAUUAACUUGUACAUUGACCUUGUGAUGGAAAUGAGGAAGCACAGGAAGCUCUUUGGGACUUAGCUUCAGAAAGGAAACAUUAGAAAAUACAAAUAAGAUAGAACAUUUUUAGAAAAAGAGGAAUUUUCAUGCUUCGUGAAUGAUCAGAUUUAACAUAGUUUGGAAUGUGUAGUUUUCCAUCAGGGUAUUGGUAAUAACUUCUCAGUGAACUUGGGUCUGAAUGCCUUGAGUAGAGAAAAAAUGGCAGCUGCUAUUUUAUGUGAGUUGGAUCAGGGAGAACCCAGGGGCCAAUCAGUCAAUCUCCUCUGAUUCUGUUGUGUAGCAAAACCUCUGGCUCAGAAACUCAUUGAGCUGUCUUGGGUUUUUCAGGUGCUUUGUUUCCGAAUGAAAUUCAAGGCUGUUAUACCUGAGGACAUUGCCUUUUCCACCUUGUGUAUAUACAUGUGGGACACUCUGUACUGAGGACAUAGAUGACUUAUUUAUGAGUAUUACCUAAGACCUAAUUAAUAUCAGUACCUCAAGUAGUUUAUGAGAUCUGAUUCUGAGGCUAUAAUACAGGAAUUUAGACUUCCUAGUCUUUUUCUUCUGCCCCAAAAUAUACCCAGAUAUUCCUUAGUCUGAUUACUUGAGGGCCAAGUUACUUUCUUGCAGAAGCACUCUUAAGAGUUCUUUUAGAAAACCUAGGAAAUUCUACUACCACAGAGAAGCCACAGUCUGAAGCCCAGGCAGCUAACUUGAACACAGAUGGAAGAAUGUUAACAGCCAAGAAAUACGAGGUCUUUGGCUCCUUUCCCAGAGCUGCCAGGCUAAGACCUUGGCAGAGAAUCAACAGGAAACUGAACUCUAUUUGCAUAUCCUUUUAUACUUUGGAGAUUAAAAGCUUCAACCUUGAGUGAUCACAGUUUUUGAAAAUCCUGAUGAGGCAUUAAAGAGGAGGAGGAGUGUCCCAAGGGAGAAAUGGCAAAAAGACAAAAAAAAAAAAGAAAAGAAAAAGAAAUAUUGCUCACUUCUGUCAGGUGACAAAUGAAGAUGGAAACCAACUCUGGGUCCUAUCUUGGGCCCCAUGAUCCUAGCUCACAAGAGUCCUGGAGGGAGAAUUGCUAAACCUCCCUGCUUUCUCCACAUCCUUCAGGUUAUCUGGGGCUGGCGCCCUGGGGAUGAGGGAAAAGAAAGCCACUGAGGUUAACACAUUGUAUUUCAGCUUCCCUGUCUAUUGGGACAGCUUUGGGGAGGCGUGUUGGGCAUGUGGAGAUGAGGCUGCCGUUUCUCUCCUGGGGCUGCUGGGGUAGGGUAGAGUCAUCCUUGGGGCCAGUGAGAGAAAUGCUUCAUCCAAUUUGUAUGCCCUCCUUUUACAGUUGGGAAGACACACUCAUUGAUCCGUAGAAUGUGGUCACCGAAGGAGGCAGAAAAGGCAAAAGGCUCAAUGUCCCCUGCCCCGUAUUCCAUCUGUUAGUAAUCCAGUUCUGCCAUUUUCCUUUUCAUGUUCUAAAUUUGGACCUUUUCGGGAGUGCUUCCUCCCCAUUCACGCUAAUUCAUGGAAUUCCAUCAGUUGGUUUUGAAAAGUGUAAGUCUGAACUAUUGCCAAAACAGCUUGCAGCAAGAGAAGAAGAAAACAACCAUUGCCUAUUUCUCCAAGCUACAGAAAGUCUGGUAUUAUUAUGUGUUAUAAACUGGACAUGAAAAUAUUAUUUCUAACAGAAAAGUCUCAGACGCUGAAUAUACUCUUCCUGCUCAUCUAAGGCCUUUGCUGAAACAGGACUUUCUCCUUGUAGCCUUUCUUGACCACCUGAUUUAAAAUUAUUACCUCCCAUAGUCCCCUGAUAACAUAUUUUCUCUCUCUGCAAGUCUUCUCAUGGCAAUUAUCACCAUCUAACACAUAUUUUACUUAUUUUAGUCUGUAUUUAUUUUCACUAAAAUAAACUCAUGAGCUUCCAUAUUCCCAGUAUGUCUAGAAAAGUACCUGGCACACAGUAGCUACAUAGUAAAUUAUUACUGAAUAAAUAAAUGAAACUUAUUUUCUCUGAAAGCAGCUUUAAUCUCCCCAAAUCUACACUUUGGAUUGGUUUUCUUUCUUAAUAAUUUGUGACCCUUGUAAGAUAUUUAUACUGACAUUUCUUUUUCUGAAAGUUAUAAAUACUCACGGGGUUUUGUUCUUAUGCCAGAAAAGGAUAAUUGAAGCUUCCUUAUUCUCUCACAUGCAUGCAGGCAAAAGAAAAUGUAUGGCUAUUAGAUUUCUUCUAUAAACACAGAGUUCGAGAGCCUGCCUUGUUUAAAUGAAUAGGAGCAAUUGCACGGUGGCUUGGCUUCCUUUGUCGCAUCACCAGGUCCUUUUCUGACUGAGCAUGCGUGCUGGGUGGCGCACUGCUUCAGGCCGACUGCACCCUGAGCAUGCAGAAUAUGCCUUCAGAGAGUCACUCCAGUGUUUGAGCUGUGGCACUGCCACUGUACACUGUUACCAUUCACGGUGUGUGUGUGUGUGUGUGUGUGUGUGUGUGUGUGUGUGUGUGUGUGUGUGUGAGAAUUACUAAAAACACAAGACCCUGAACUGAUCUGCAUCCCUGAAGAAUUCCAAAAGUAUUUGGUGGUGGUGGUGGUAGAGUGAGAGGGAGUUGGGAGUUGCCCUUUUGUUUAGGAAAAUGUGUCAUUGUGGCUUUUGGUCAUGGGAGGUGGCAUGCCCCAGCAAGUAUGCUUGGAGGGAAAGUUGGCAAAAUUUCUUUGGGAAAUAAAGCAGGAAUGGUCAGCCUUUUCCCUGACUGGCAGGCCUCAGGGCCCAGGACCUUCAGAUUAAGAGGAGAGAAGAGGUGGUGAAAUGAAUGAGAAAGCCUGCCAUCCUCUCUGCCCCACCUUCCCCGUUUUAUCCCUGCCGUGGGGGGGGGGUGUUCAAGAAAUGUAGGAGUUUUGCUGUCCGCUUUCCAAGAGUAAGUUAUUUGGUGUUCUAGUGUGCUCUAUGAUCAACCCUUCAGAAAAUCUCCUAACAGGCCACCGUGUUUUGUAAGCAGAUUAGAUGAGGCUUGGAGAGAUCAUCUCCAAGCAAACUUAGCACCAGCCUGGUCCUCUGUUGCCUCUGCAGCAUCCAGCACAGGGCAAAGUCUUCACGCAUUACCCAUUUCACACCCUCAUUCAUUCAUACACUUGCUGAGUGCCCAUUUUGUGCCAGAUUUACUCUAAGGGCUGGAGUUAAGGCAGUGAACAAAGCAGAUAAAAAUCUCUGCCAUCACGGAGCUUGUGUUCCAGUGGAGAGCCAAACAAGAAAUAGAGAAGCAAGUAAAACAUACACGCAUCAGACAGUGAUAAAUGCUAUGGAGAAAAAUUGAGCAGAGAGGAGAGAUGGUAUUUGCCAGAGGAAGAAUAAAGCGCUCUGACCAAAAAAUAUUAGAGAUGUAUAACCCCAUCAUUUCAAUUUAUCUUUGAGGACAAGAUGUUGAACUGAGGAGUAGGAAAGAAGCCUCAAUUCUGGAGUUUCUUCACCUUGUUGGUAUGGAGAAUUUAUUAGCAGGCACUUCCUGUCUGAGGCGCUGCGAGGGGCUAUGACCCUAGCUAGAACAAGGAAACUUUGGUUUGAGCGCAGUUCUCUUCUCUGCAUGGUGGCUCCCACACCUCAAUUCACUGCUGUGCUUUCUGGUGUCAGUUUGCUCAUUUUGAAUGCAGAGGACUGUGGAUGACAGAUCUUGAGCCCUUUUGCUGCCAACAUAUAAGCAAUAAUAAGUCAGUGAAAAUGGAAGAGACCAACUCGGACACUCUGUCUCACAGUGCAGUUCUAUCUGGACAGUAAAGUCAGCAAUUCUUGGACCUGCCAGAGACCCAGAGCCUUUCUCCAGCUCUCAUCGCUUUAGCCCCAGACCCCUGUGGCUGCUCUUCCAGGCAGGCCUCUGGGAAGGCAAGGAGAAGGUGGUGGAUGUAUUAGGACCUCAGAGACCCUAAGGGAAUCCAUCAAGAUGCUGCCUUUGACAAGCAUUGGAAGGGUAGACCAUGUGGCUCCAUUUGCCAUGUUGUGGCCUGAGAGACAAGCUGCCAACCUAGGGGUGAGCUCAGGAGUGUAAGUGGCAGGGGGCUGGGUGGCAGCUAUCCUCUUUCAGUCAUGGGACUGAAGCAUCUCCAGAGAACAGCCCAGAAGCUGAAAUUGCAACUAGUGUUUCAAAGGAAGGGAGGGAAAAGUGGGAGGUGGAAGGAGUUGGAUACACCCGUCCCCAUCCCCUUCCUCCAGACUGGCCAAGGAGUCAAAGGCAACUUCUGCAUCACACAGAUGACUGGACUUGAUGCACUUGCUUGGUUCCAGCCAUUCUUUUUUUUUUUUUUUAAGGGCCACACCCAUGGCAUAUGGAAGUUCCCAGUCUGGGGACUGAAUCAGAGCUGUAGCUGCUGGCCACCGCCACAGCCAUAGCCAUAGUAAUACAGGAUCCAAACCGAAUCUGCAACCUCCACCACAGCUCAUGGCAGCUCAGGUUAUUAACCCACUGAAUGAGGCCAGGGAUCAAACCCUUGUCCUCAUGGAUUCUAGUUGGGUUCUUAACCCACUGAGCCACAACGGGAACUCCCCAGCCAUUCUUUAACUAUUGCCAUGGGUGAUGUGUUUCUUUAUUAUAUUCCGCAGCCCCCAGCCCAGUGCCAGGGCCAUCAGCCUCUAACUCAGACCCAGCUCCUGGCUCUGCCUCUGUAACCCUAGGUAAGGUACCCAGUCUCUCUGAGGCCCAGCAUCCCCAUCUGUAAAACAGAGCUGAUGAUAAUGACCCUGCAGGGCUGUCAUAAGGAUUGAGUCCACACCUGCAAAGUGGUUGCUUCUUGGCACUCGAUAAUUUAGUUCACUUUCUUCUAAAUUAUUCCACUUUAUAGUUUGCUCUUUCUUAUGAUGAGUAACAUUUAUGGACUAGCUGCUACGUGCAAGGCAAUUUACUUACUUUCUAUCAUUUGCUUUUUACAACACUGUAGAAAAAUGAAACUCUUAUUAUCUCUCAAGACGUUACUCAUUGUCCCGGUUUCAAAGAUGAAGCAGUUCAGAUGAUUUUAAAGGCAGAGGGAAGCUUGUGUCAGGAUCACAAACUCUCAUGUUGGAAAACAUUUGAGAAGUCAUCUGGGACCACUGCUGCAUUGUCCCAGUUUCUUGACAGAUGGUCAUGGAACAUGGGUUUGAACAGUUCUUGUGGCAAGGGCACAGCCCUGUUGUUCCUUAUUUCUGCUCCCCACCCCUGCCCCCGCCCCUGCACACCCUCUGAAUCACAUACUGUGUCCUCUAGCUCGAGCUGAAAUCUGUCUCCCUCCCUUAGUAGCAAUGGUACCUUGGGCAAAUGUUCUAACUUUUCUGUGCCUAGUGUCCUCAUUUAUAAAAUGGGGAGAAUAAUGGAAAAUGCAUCAUUGGAUUGUUGAGAGGGUUAGAUCAUAUAACUUAUGUCAAAGGCUCAGAAUAGUGCUUGGUGUAUAGUAAGCACUCAACAGAUGUCAAUCAUGAUGAUGGCUAAUGUACAGUCAUAUGAAUUUGUCCAAGUAUUUUUCCUCCUCCUUCUCAUCAAAGGCAUUCUUCCCAUUCUCUGUCAAAAGGAUCCACUGGGUCUCUUCCUAGAAAUCAUCUCGCAGGUCUUAUAAGACCAUGGUUCCAAAACUUUGACAACAUCUACACAGCUACUCCCAAACGUUGUUCUUUUUCAUACACACACACACAUAUAUACACAUAUAUACAUAUGUGUGUGUGCGUAUAUAUAUAUAAAUGUAAGAUCAGACAAAAUCAUGAGAGAUAGGAAGAUUGUGAGCAUCCUUGGUAGAACAGUGAAGAUCCCUGACUGGAACCCCCUGUGUGUGUCUGGCAAACACUUGUCAGCCUCUUUGUGUUUCUAUGCCCCUAUGGAGGGGAAGGGCCUUUUUUUUUUUUUAAAGACCGUACUUGUGGCACAUGGAAGUUCCUGGGCUAGGGGUCGAAUUGGAGCUGCAGCUUGGCCUGCACCACCCUGUAGCUUGUGGCAACACUGGAUCUUUGACCCUCUGAGUGAAACCAGGGAUCGAACCCGCAUCCUCAUGGAUACUGUGUUGGGUUCUUAACCCUCUAAGACACAAUGGGAACUCCAGAGAGCAGGAUAUUUGACUUAUUGAUAUAAGACUGUUGAUAUUUAUCAAAAAAUGCCCAUAUUUACAGCAUACAACCCAAUGAAUUCAGAUAUACUUGUACAUCCAUGAAACCAUCACCAUAAUCAAGCUACUGAACAUACCCUUCACCACUAAAAUUCCAAUGAGCUCUUCAAUAAGAGGAAUGGUAGAUUUCCUAGAUGAGGCCAGAAAGCAAGCCGCGGGGUUCAACCUGAGAAUAGGCUGACAAUCAUUCACCUAAAUCUGGAGAAGUACAUUGUUCAAGAUAAAAGUGGAGUUUAAGUUGAGCUGUCCAAAGAAGGAUAAAGAAAUGUCACUGAGGGGGAAAAAACUAUUCCAUGUUUUGUUUCUAGCACAUAGAGAAGUAAAGAAGUAGAGAUGGAAAGGAGGACAAAAGUCCAGAACGGUUCAGGAUGCUACAGAUUGAGUCUUGCCCUCCACAUUGGGAAGAUGACAGGCAGCAUGUACUAUCGAUGCUGAAGAAAGGGAAGUGUCUUUCUACUUUCCCAACCCCCUGGGAGUUGAACAGCUCAACUCCCAGUGUAUCCUCUUGGGGAGAAAUGGGAUAUCACCCACAUUCCUACUUUGGAAAGUACCUCUUUAUGCCAUAUCCUAAGUACUUUGGGAUGUGUAGCCGAAUCUUUUAUGAAGCUCCAAGAAAACUGUUAAGAGUGUUCUGUAAGGAGUUCCCGUUGUGGUGCAGCAAAAAUGAGUCUGACAAGGAACCAUGAGGUUAUGGGUUCAAUCCCUAGCCUCACUCAGUGGGUUAAGGAUCUGGCAACACCUCCGAUUAGACACCUAGCCUGGGAACCUCCAUAUGCCUUGGGUGCGGCCCUAAAAAGACAGAAAAGACCAAAAAAAAAAAAAAAAA